CACCUGGGAUGGAGAGAGGAGGGUGUUGGAUCUAUAAGACCUGGGGAUCUUUUCCGUGGAGCUGAGUCCAGCUGAGAGUCCUGGAGAAUAACCCUCCUUGUAACAUGAUCCCUGUCCCAGGGCAAGAGGCUCACACCGGCCCCAGGAUCGAGCAACCUCACAUGUGGCAGGUCAUUCAGUCACAUCGAUAUACGUCGGGUUGGAGCUUUACUGUUUAUAACACACACCCCUCCUCCUACAGCCCUCUUCCUUUGAGCAGAAGAGAGAGGCUCCCAUGAGCCUUAAGGAGCAUCUGCAAAGGAGAGAGUUCAUGUGGAAAUGGGUCUGAAGAGGGGCCGAGAAACCAGCCAAAUGCUGACUCGACUCAGAAAUAAAGGUUUCAGUGCACACUGUGUUACCGAAGGCCACGACUUCCUGAGUAAGACAACCAGUUGGAAUCAGACCUUUCAGAGGCUGAAGGGAACUUGCCCAGGACGUAACAGCAACCUCUGAAGGCCCCUUUCUUGGAAAUAGUUGCAAGCACGGUUUACGAUGCAGGGUGACGCCAAGGACUGGAACUCUCUUAGUGCCAACACGACAGGGAAACAGGGCAGAGAGGCUCCAAGCUCCCCGUGAGGGAAGGAGACGCAGGGAGGACGGCUGAUGGACGGUGUGUGACUCAUGUGAUGCUUUCCAGCAGCAGCUCGAUAAAUAUUGAUGAGCGAACAAGACAGGAAUUCAGGGACAUCGGUUCACAGAGGUCUGAGCGGGGCCCGCGGGACCGUUCACCCAGCCGCGCCUCUGAGCCCCCCACGAGCCCCGUCUGUCACACUCGCUGUCUAGGGACAGGUGCACCCGGAGUCGGAGCUGGGUGUGGCCUUAGGAGUCCGUGAGUGACCUCAUCACGAAGGGUGGGAGGUGACUGUUUAAAAGGACUGUAGCCUCCCUGUCCCCGCUUUCUACCUAGUAACAGCUUGUUCCUCGAUGCCUUUGUCACCUCUGUCACUGCCGUAUUGCAGGACUCAACCAGUAUGACCAAGAGAAUGCAAAAUACCUCAUUAGCAAUUUCUACACAGAUGACACGUUGAACGGAUAAUAUUUUGGAUGUGUGGCGUUAAAUAAGAUAAAGAUUACAAUGAAUUCCACCUGAUUAUUUUUCUUUUUUGAUUUGGCUACCACACAAUUUUAGAUGGCAGACAGGGCUCAAAUGACCUUUCCACGGGACCAUGCAGGGGUAGAGGGUCAACGCUGUUCUUGCCUGAAAUUUAGUGACAGAAAACAAAACCUUUCCCCCCACAAUUAAGGCUGACGGCCAACUCUGGCUAGGGGAGAAGGCUAAUUAGCAAGUGUGCAAGCCUGAGAGUUGGAAUUUUGUCUCUAUUCCUGCGGUCAGUUCGCACAGUUUGUCUGCACGCUCCUCUCCUGGGUUCCUGAGACGCCCUGGCUGGAGGUGAGCUGGAGUGUUUGCAUUCCCGGAGCCUGCGAAGAUCUGCCCCCAGCUCUGGUAGGGACUUCGGCUCCGCUGGUGUUUUCCUAGGUUUGCCCUUGCGAACCAAGUGAUCCCUCUACUAAGUUAACAAAAGCUCCUCACUCACAAUAAAAGUGGAAACAAAGCAACAACAAGAGUAGAAGGAGCCCUCCAGGAUGCAAAUGAUUUCCCUACUGCUCUCUACUGAGACGGUCAUCUCUUUGGUUCUAGUGCCAACCACAUGCACACACACACUCACUCCCUCCUAGAAGAAAUAUGUGAAAUUCAUGCUUUCAGAAAUAAUCUACAUAUUUUUUUUUUUUUUUUUUUUUUUUUUAGUUUGCAUCAAAAUACCUUGCCCUGCAAAACUUGGGUCCCAAUCAAUAAAACUAAUGUCCGGUUCCAGAGAAAUCUAUGGCUGCUAAUUAAAAUCACCUUCAUUGAAACAAACUAUAAAGGAUUUACCUCUUGACUCUGCUAGUCAUUGCUGAUGGAUUAUUUCCUUUUAAUUUAUUCUAAAACCCUAUCUUCCUGCCGCCAAUGGUUUUGUGGGACCCUUGAGUGAUCUGCUUUCCUUGAACACAUACACACACGCAUGCGUACAAACAUGCUCACACACACAGAGUGGACUCCCACAGCUCAGGCAGUGUGUCUGGGGAUGCACUCCUGAGCACACCACUUGACACUUCCUGAUGGGACGCGGGUGCUGGGUGUGGAGGCUGAGAGGUAAAGUUUGGAUCAGGCACAAAGUUCGAGUCAG